rnacentral:rRNA from 1 species
UACGGAGGGUGCAAGCGUUGUCCGGAAUCACUGGGCGUAAAGGGCGCGUAGGCGGCUAUGUAAGUCACUUGUGAAAUCCCGGGGCUCAACUCCGGGGCCGCAGGUGAGACUGUGUGGCUAGAGCAUGGUAGAGGCGAGUGGAAUUCCCGGUGUAGCGGUGGAAUGCGUAGAUAUCGGGAAGAACACCGGUGGCGAAGGCGGCUCGCUGGGCCAUUGCUGACGCUGAGGCGCGAAAGCUAGGGGAGCGAAUGGG